rnacentral:lncRNA from 1 species
UCGAAUUUACCUCCUUUAUAACUUCAGUUUAUGCAGUACUUCUGAGAUUACCUAUAUAUAUAUAUAAAUUUUAGAAAGUGCUAAGAAAGUAAGAAUGCUUUACGACUUCGCAUUAAGGCCCUAUAGAAAAAUAAAAUUUUGGCAUGGCCCUAAAAGUGAAAGAGAAUCAAACUGGAUUUUGUUAGAACUUGUUUUAAACAAGCAAAACAAUGUAGCAGACAUGAAACAGGAAUUACGCUUCCAAUAUAAUAAGUGGUUCUUUAAGAACUUGCAAGUGCACACAAAGCAGAGAAAGACUUUCAUUAAGAAUACAGUUUUUGCUUCUCCUUAAUGACUAUCGUGUCAAUGGAUUAUAAUCCCCUCUUCAUUUAAUGACUCGCAACAAUAAGCAGAGAGUGCAUCAGCCAAUUGUGUCCAUAUGACCAGAGUUGUAAACAAGUGCAGCACCACUAUAUGAUUCUAGCCAAUCAUAUAUAAUUAUCUGAUAAUCUACCUCUUAAUAGACCUUCUCCUCGUAUUAUCACUAGAUGUGUAAUCACGGAAAAGGUUUUCCUUGUGUGUGCAGCCAUAACCACAAAACUUCCACUAUUUUAAUAGUAGAAAUAUUAUUUUGUGACACAAAAUUUAUCGAUUUAUAUCGAGGUUUUUCGGUUCAUCACUCAAUAAAAACCUUCAGCAGUGACAUUGGCCAUAAAUUUACAUAUUGCAACACGAAAGAGCGUAAAGUAUUUAUAGUAGAACCAAAAAUAAACCGAGUCUUCGAUAUGGGGGCAAACAGUCGGUUUCGCCUCUCAUCAAAAUUUAGAAGGUUAAACAAAUUUCACAGCAGGCUGCACACACGUUUGUAGAUUGACCAGAAUUUAGUCAUAAACGUGACAUCUGGCCGUUUAGAGUUUUUAAUUUGUGGACGGUCCGGUAUCCAUCACUGGGGACGAUAACUGCAAUAGCGAAACCGCGGGGUUAACGAGUCCAUUGGAGUGUGUAAUAGUCAAAAUAUAAAAUUACUUGGAGUAAUCCGUCCGCACGCUAAUGUCACACCUGGCAAAGUGAACCAACAAAAUUUUUAAAAAGUGUUUGAGGAUUAAAACGGGGGAUGCGCCAUCAACGUUCGGGUUCGCUGACUACAAAUUAAGAUGGAAAAUUGUUAGUUGAUACGGUUUUCAUUGUCCGCUUGUAAAUUGUGUAAUGUAUGUAAGCGACUCUGACAGAAGUGCGUGAGGACAGAUUCAUCCAUCAUUGUCUAAUCAGACGACUGGAAUUUCCCAUAAAUAUUCCGCGUAACGCGAUCUUGCACGUCUAACUAGCUGGCCCAACCACAAUGACGUAAGUAAUCCUUAUUUAUAAUUCUUGACAAUGUUAGGAAUUCGUGAAAUAAUAGUAAAAAAAAUUAAUUUUGUAGAGAUUUGAAUGGAGAAAUUUUAGUAAAGAAAUUAUCUCUUUCGUAAUAGGUUUAGACGAGGGCAAAGUGGAGUUUGUCGACGUGGACG